AGCUCGUGUCGUGAGAUGUUCGGUUAAGUCCGCUAACGAGCGCAACCUCGUCGUAUGUUAUAUGUGUCAUACGAGACUGCCGGUAAAAGACCGGACGGAAGGUGGAGGAUGAUGUCAAGUCAGCAUGGCCGUUUACUUAUCCUCGGGCGUACACACACGCUACAAUAGGUCUGUACAAUAGGUUGCCAAGCCGCGAGGCGGAGCCAAUCCUUAAAGCAGGCCUCAGUUCAGAUUGUAGGCUGCAACUCGCCUGCAUGAAGAUGGAGUUGCUAGUAACCGCAGGUCAGCAAUACUGCGGUGAAUACGUUCCCGGGUCUU
rnacentral:rRNA from 1 species